rnacentral:ncRNA from 1 species
UGGUGAGGUAGAGGUCGCGGUAUUUAGGAGUAGUUUGGCGGAGGCUUUCGAGACAGCCCGUGAAACCGAAUGAAAGGAAAUACUGCCGAAGUCUGUAUGUCUCUCUCGAGCAUGCGGGCUGGGGCCGUUCCCGAAAGGGACGGAACUGUCACAUGUGUACUACCUAGUACAGAUGUGUUGAGCUAUCUUGCAC